rnacentral:misc_RNA from 1 species
AAGUCGUAACAAGGUUUCCGUAGGUGAACCUGCGGAAGGAUCAUUAACACGUAUCCAACGUUAAACCCCCCUGUGAACCUUUUUAUCAUCGCCGAACAGUUUUGAUUCAGGGACUUCUGCAAAGAGUGCUGGUUGUAGCGCGAGGCAAGUGGCCUGGCAUUCCUCUGCUUGUUAGUGUCUGAAAGUGUCACUGGCUCUGUAAGAAUGGCGCAGUCACGAUCGCUAGAGGCCGACACGGCCGGCGACCGGGUCACCGGGCUCACGCCCCCCUAUCACCCCUUUGCAUGAAAACGGGCCUGCGCUUAAUUGUGCGGCCAUAAACCGAACAACUGUUAACAAUGGAUAUCUUGGUUCUC